rnacentral:rRNA from 1 species
GAGGAAUUUUGCGCAAUGGGGGAAACCCUGACGCAGCAACGCCGCGUGAGUGAAGAAGGCCCUUGGGUCGUAAAGCUCUGUCGACAGGGAAGAAAUUAUUAUACUUUAAUAAAGUAUAGUAUUGACGGUACCU